rnacentral:rRNA from 1 species
GAUGAACGCUGGCGGCGUGCCUAAUACAUGCAAGUCGAGCGAACAGACGAGGAGCUUGCUCCUUUGACGUUAGCGGCGGACGGGUGAGUAACACGUAGGUAACCUACCUAUAAGACUGGGAUAACUUCGGGAAACCGGAGCUAAUACCGGAUAAUAUUUCGAACCGCAUGGUUCGAUAGUGAAAGAUGGCUUUGCUAUCACUUAUAGAUGGACCUGCGCCGUAUUAGCUAGUUGGUAAGGUAACGGCUUACCAAGGCAACGAUACGUAGCCGACCUGAGAGGGUGAUCGGCCACACUGGAACUGAGACACGGUCCAGACUCCUACGGGAGGCAGCAGUAGGGAAUCUUCCGCAAUGGGCGAAGGCCUGACGGAGCAACGCCGCGUGAGUGAUGAAGGUCUUCGGAUCGUAAAACUCUGUUAUUAGGGAAGAACAAACGUGUAAGUAACUGUGCACGUCUUGACGGUACCUAAUCAGAAAGCCACGGCUAACUACGUG